rnacentral:rRNA from 1 species
AUUGAACGCUGGCGGCAUGCCUUACACAUGCAAGUCGAACGGCAGCAUGGAGGAGCUUGCUCCUCUGAUGGCGAGUGGCGAACGGGUGAGUAGAGCAUCGGAACGUACCGUGUAGUGGGGGAUAACGUAGCGAAAGUUACGCUAAUACCGCAUACGCACUGAGGUGGAAAGCAGGGGAUCGCAAGACCUUUCGCUAUACGAGCGGCCGAUGUCAGAUUAGCUAGUUGGUAGGGUAAAGGCCUACCAAGGCGACGAUCUGUAGCGGGUCUGAGAGGAUGAUCCGCCACCAUGGGACUGAGACACGGCCCAGACUCCUACGGGAGGCAGCAGUGGGGAAUUUUGGACAAUGGGGGCAACCCUGAUCCAGCCAUGCCGCGUGAGUGAAGAAGGCCUUCGGGUUGUAAAGCUCUUUCGGCCGGGAAGAAAUCGCACAGGCUAAUAUCCUGUGUGGAUGACGGUACCGGCAUAAGAAGCACCGGCUAACUACGUGCCAGCAGCCGCCGUAAGAC